AGGCAACCCCCAUUCAAUAAAAAGUGGAUAGGGAGGUGUUUAUCUGUUCGUAAAUCAAAUCUUUUAACUCUUCAGACUUGCUGAGAUGUUCGCAUCUAUGAAGUUGGUCUAGUAAGAUGAAGUACAUA